GUCUUAUUGAUUAGUUAAUAUUAAGUCUGACCUGCUCUAUGAUUAUUUUAUAAUUAAAUGGCCGCAGUAUUUUGACUGUGCAAAGGUAGCAUAAUCAUUUGUCUUUUAAUUGAGGUCUGGAAUGAAUGGUUUGACGAAAGAUAAACUUUUUUUGCUUAAUUUUGUAUAAAUUUAAUUUUUAAGUAAAAAAGCUUAAAUAUUUUUGAGGGACGAGAAGACCCUAUAGAAUUUUACUUUUUUUAUUAUUAUAUUUUCUUUGAGUCUACUAUUAUUAGAAAUUAAUUUUAGAAAAAGUUUUGUUGGGGUGACAUUGAGAUUUUUAUAACUCUCAAUUAUUAAUUUUCACUGAUUAGUGUAUUAUUGAUCCUUUUUUAUGGAUUAUAAGAUUAAAUUACCUUAGGGAUAACAGCGUAAUUCUUUCGGAGAGUUCUUAUCGAUGAAUUUGGAGUUUGCGACCUCGAUGUUGGAUUAAAAUAAGUUACUGGUGUAGCAGCUAGAUAACUAGGUCUGUUCGACCUUUUAAUUUUUACA
rnacentral:rRNA from 1 species